rnacentral:rRNA from 1 species
AGAGUUUGAUCAUGGCUCAGGAUGAAUGCUGGCGGCGUGCCUAAUACAUGCAAGUCGAGCGGUAAGGCCUUCGGGGUACACGAGCGGCGGACGGCUGAGUAACGCGUGGGAACAUGCCCCAAAGUGAGGGAUAACGCACCGAAAGGUGUGCUAAUACCGCAUAUGGUCUUCGGAUUAAAGGAUUUAUCCGCUUUGGGAGUGGCCCGCGUACGAUUAGAUUGUUGGUGAGGUAACGGCUCACCAAGUCGACGAUCGUUAACUGGUCUGAGAGGAUGGUCAGUCAGACUGGAACUGAGACACGGUCCAGACUCCUACGGGAGGCAGCAGUAAGGAAUCUUCCACAAUGGGCGAAAGCCUGAUGGAGCAACGCCGCGUGCAGGAUGAAGGCCCUCGGGUCGUAAACUGCUUUUAUGAGUGAAGAAUAUGACGGUAACUCAUGAAUAAGCACCGGCUAACUACGUG